rnacentral:rRNA from 1 species
CCUGUACACACCGCCCGUCACACCACGAAAGCCAAUUGUACUUGAAGUCGCUGGGCUAACCCGUAAGGGAGGCAGGUGCCGAAGGUAUGGUCGGUGAUUGGGGUG